rnacentral:rRNA from 1 species
GACGAACGCUGGCGGCGUGCUUAACACAUGCAAGUCGAACGGAAAGGCCCUGCUUUUGUGGGGUGCUCGAGUGGCGAACGGGUGAGUAACACGUGAGUAACCUGCCCUUGACUUUGGGAUAACUUCAGGAAACUGGGGCUAAUACCGGAUAGGAGCUCCUGCUGCAUGGUGGGGGUUGGAAAGUUUCGGCGGUUGGGGAUGGACUCGCGGCUUAUCAGCUUGUUGGUGGGGUAGUGGCUUACCAAGGCUUUGACGGGUAGCCGGCCUGAGAGGGUGACCGGCCACAUUGGGACUGAGAUACGGCCCAGAGUCCUACGGGAGGUAGCAGUGGGGAAUAUUGCACAAUGGGCGGAAGCCUGAUGCAGCAACGCCGCGUGCGGGAUGACGGCCUUCGGGUUGUAAACCGCUUUCGCCUGUGACGAAGCGUGAGUGACGGUAAUGGGUAAAGAAGCACCGGCUAACUACGUG